CCGGCACGGGUGAGUAACACGUAUCCAACCUGCCGUCUACUCUUGGACAGCCUUCUGAAAGGAAGAUUAAUACAAGAUGGCAUCAUGAGUCCGCAUGUUCACAUGAUUAAAGGUAUUCCGGUAGACGAUGGGGAUGCGUUCCAUUAGAUAGUAGGCGGGGUAACGGCCCACCUAGUCUUCGAUGGAUAGGGGUCCUGAGAGGAAGGUCCCCCACAUUGGAACUGAGACACGGUCCAA
rnacentral:rRNA from 1 species